rnacentral:rRNA from 1 species
UACGUAGGGUGCAAGCGUUGUCCGGAAUUAUUGGGCGUAAAGAGCUCGUAGGCGGUUUGUCGCGUCGAAUGUGAAAACCCGGGGCUCAACCCCGGGCCUGCAUUCGAUACGGGCAGACUAGAGUUCGGUAGGGGAGUCUGGAAUUCCUGGGUGUAGCGGUGAAAUGCGCAGAGUAUCAGGAGGAACACCGGUGGCGAAGGCGGGACUCUGGGCCGAUACUGACGUGAGGAGCGAAAGCGUGGGGAGCAAACAGG